UUAUUGCUAUCCGGAUUCGACUAAGCCAUGCAAGUCUUGAUGUUCGUCUUUGGACAUUAGGGCAGAAAGCUCAGUAACAUGUAGUUAAUAUGCCCUCAAGUCAGGGAUAAUCUCGGGAAACUGAGGCUAAUACCUGAUAGAUAAGAAGUACUGGAAUGUUUUCUUUUCUAAAGCUUUUGCGCUUGAGGAUUGGACUGCACCGGAUUAGGUUGUUGUUAGGGUAACGUCCUGGCAAGCCGAUAAUCCGUACGAGCCUUGAGAGAGGAAGCUCGGAGUUGGAUUCUGAGACAAGGAUCCAGACCCUACGGGGUGCAGCAGGCGCGAAACUUUCCCAAUGCACGCAAGUGUGAGGAAGGGAUCUGGAGUGCAUUCUCUUAUAUAGGGGAUGCUUUUGUGGAGUGUAAACAGCUCCAAGAAUAAGUGGUGGGUAAGACGGGUGCCAGCCGCCGCGGUAAUACCCGCGCCACGAGUGAUAACCACGAUUAUUGGGCUUAAAGCGUUCGUAGCCGGCCCAAAAAGUCUUUAGUGAAAUCCCGUAGCUAACUACGGGGCUUGCUAGGGGAACUAUUGGACUUGGAACCGGGAGAGGUCUGGGGUACUCAAGGGGUAGGGGUAAAAUCCUGUAAUCCUUUGGGGACCACCUGUGGCGAAGGCGCCAGACCAGAACGGAUUCGACGGUGAGGGACGAAAGCCAGGGGAGCAAAGGGGAUUAGAUACCCCCGUAGUCCUGGCUGUAAGCGAUGCCCACUAGACAUUGGCAAUCUUACGUGGGUUGUCAGUGCCGUAGCGAAAGCGUUAAGUGGGCCGCCUGGGGAGUACGGUCGCAAGGCUGAAACUUAAGG
rnacentral:rRNA from 1 species